CAGGAUUUUGAAUGGUUUGGCCGCCUUACAUUUUCAAAUAUAAAUGAAGAAUUUGGAGGCCCAGCUAGUCAGUGACAAACUAAAAGGAAGAAGGUGAUAUACCAUGCCAUUAAUUUUCUUUUCAGUUCCCAUGAUUUGGCUGUUUUAAGUGGUGGAAUGAUAAUGUAUUAUGUUUGUUUGUUGAACCUCGGGAAUAGCUUUGCAAAUAACAAACUUCAGUACAAAGAUGUCAAAGUUUUGAUAUAAACUGUACUAACUUAUAAUUGCAUAUUAUAAUUAUAGUGAACUAGAUAGGCGCUCACAUGCUAGUGGUCUGCGGUGACAUUUUAAGCUCUUGUUUAUUGUCUUUAAUGCCAGUGUGUAGCAGCCAGCAAAAUUAGCUCUACUUCUUGGUGUGAAUUUAUGAUGGUUAUUUAGUUUAUUUUAUUUUUACACUGCAUCAUGCUAUGUUUCAUGAGUAUAAACAUGAUAUGCUUGGCAUGCAGUUUUGGGGGAAAAAGGAAGCAUCUCAUGUGUAAAUUUCGUUUGACCUUGCAUUUUACUGCUUACUAUUUACUAUACAUCCAGAAUUGUACUUGGAAGUGUCAUUAUAGUUCUUUAGAAGUGGGCUUUUGUGUCCAUCAGCCAUGAUUUUGUAGAGAUGCCAGUUGAAUAAAUCUGAUUCUCUAAUCUCGCAAGGAUAAUGAUUAACUUCUGUAUAUAUAGAUACUCCUACAGCAUGUAUAAAAAAGAUAAUUUGAGUCAUUUCUCAUAAUUGGAUCCUCUUUCUUUCAUGUACAUGAAUUAUUUCAGCUUAUUUGUAUGUAGAAAGCCUUGGUUUUAUUUUCUAGGCUAAUUCAACUUGUGCAAGAUGUAGGAAAGUGAACCAAUAAAAAUUGUUUAUUGAACCAAAUGUUUGUAGUGUUUCACUGGAUUAAAUCUGUGGGCUUGUCACUAAUCGGAUACCAUUUAGGGGACCUUAAUUUCUCCAGCUAGUUUCCCUCUUAUUUUGUGUAGUACAUGUAGAGAGCUUAGAAGGAAAAGCAAGCUCAAAUACAAGCUAAUUUAAUUCACUGGCUAGUACAGUAACUUAGCGCAUUCAACCUGCUUAUACCAAUUUGCUUAUUGCCGUAACUUAUAUCACUCUAUUUCUCGAUCCUGCUUGAAGGUGCAACUGUAACUUUGCAUAUGUGCUUGUUCAAUACAGUAGCUUCAAAAUGCGCUUGUGUAAUAUUUAGUGUGUGAUUGUGGCCUCGUGCUUGUGUUUCCAAAUGCAGAAGACAAUCAAAUGGUCAUCAAUUCUGUUUGCUUUACUUCGGUACAGGAAUAGCCUCACUACAAGAUAGGUACACCUACUAAUUACUGUUGAUAUUUGUUAAUAUCUGUACAGACUUUGCAAACUAUAUUUGGAUGAGAAGUAAGAGAAGCUUGCUACUGUCAAGAUGAUAAAAAAUGGACAUGUUCUCUACUAAAGUAGAGAUUACUCUAGAGAUGGUACUAGUUGCUCUAUGUUUCAGAACAUAUACGGCUGUUGUAUGUGGUUGUUGUCACAUCUUCCUGUUUAUAGACUUUGCACAUUACAUUUUGAUGAGAAGAUAAGCUUGCUACUGUUAAGAUGAUAAAAAAUGGACACCUUCUCUACUAUAGUAGAGAUUAGUCUAGAGAAAAUAUGCGGCUGUUGUAUGUGAUUGUUGUAACAUCUUCCUUAAGUUCUGAAUGCUGCUGUUGUAUGUAACAUCUUACGAUCUAUGGCAGCUGCAGAUUUCCCAAAGGUGAACAAGUUCACUAAGGUUUGGAAGAUUUUCAAGCUGAUGAAGAUUUGGAAGACCUACAAUGUCCUGCGUCUUGUUUGUUGAACCUAGACAUUUGCUCUGCUCAUUUUGGUGGUGGUUUGGCUGUGUGGCACACAUCUAGAAGCAUAUGUACAUCUUUUGUGGCACUACUUUAGUUUGGUUGUGGGGUAAACAUAUAUAUGUACUCCUUUCGUGGCACAACCUCUACAUAUAUUGUCGUUAUGUUUAUCAAAUGAAGUUUAAGGUUUUCGAUGAGGCCUAUAUGUUACAUUGGUUGAAGUGCGUGUAUAAAUUGUGUGAUAUGUCUUGAUUGUCUGGACAUAUAUAAUGGAUGGAUAUUACAUAAUAGCGAUGCCUAGAACAUUUCGCUAGUGAAAUUAACA
rnacentral:lncRNA from 1 species